UUACGGGAGGCAGCAGUGAGGAAUAUUGGACAAUGGGGGCAACCCUGAUCCAGCAAUGCCGCGUGUGUGAAGAAGGCCUUCGGGUUGUAAAGCACUUUUAUCCGGAACGAAACGUGUCGGGUUAACAACCCGGCAAACUGACGGUACCGGAGGAAUAAGCACCGGCUAACUUCGUGCCAGCAGCCGCGGUAAUACGAAGGGUGCAAGCGUUACUCGGAAUUACUGGGCGUAAAGGGUGCGUAGGUGGUUUUUUAAGUCUGCUGUGAAAUCCCCGGGCUCAACCUGGGAAUGGCAGUGGAUACUGGAAAGCUAGAGUGCGGUAGAGGGUAGUGGAAUUCCCGGUGUAGCAGUGAAAUGCGUAGAGAUCGGGAGGAACACCAGUGGCGGAGGCGGCUACCUGGACCAGCACUGACACUGAGGCACGAAAGCGUGGGGAGCAAACAGGAUUAGAUACCCCGGUAGG
rnacentral:rRNA from 1 species